GCUACCAGUAUCAGAUUAUCAACAUGACUGAAUUAAAAUGAUGCAAAUCUUUCUCUGUAGUAUAAAAAAAUGCACUUACAGGUUUUGUGCUAGGUCUGUGCUUGACAGGCUAGAGAUUUAACUACACACACUCCAAAGAGGCAGCCAUUCUCUUGUCAGUAUGCAGGCUAUAUUCUGCAAUGCUAGAUCAGUAUGUUAGAAGUCUUACAAGAGCUAUCUGCAACUGGGGCCUGGCUUUCUUUCUGAAACAAUGAACUCUGUUUAAUGUGGUGUGUCUUUCAGAAGCAGCACAGGGCAGAACAAGAAUCAUGGUACACCAAAAGACAAAUAUAAUUGGUAGAGAAUUAGGAAACAGACCCAAAGCCACUGAAGACAUUUGAUGGAGAGAGGAGCAUUGUGGGUAGAGCUGAGCUCGAGAGAUUUUUGGCUGGCACAAGCUCUAUAAUGGCCAAACUGGUUCAGAGGAUCAGAACUGACUACCCAAGAGUCAAGAACAGAUGAAGAUGGAGAUCAGAUUAAAUGUUUUGUUCUGCUUAAGGGUGAGGUUGUUGGCACAAAAGGAGCACAUGACCAUAGGAAAACCAAAGGACUUUCCUGAGGAUGAUUAAUCUUUCUUAGAUGCUGAUAACGGACAUGGAAUCUACAGACAUGGUUUAUGAAGUCUACAUCAUUUCACCAAUGAAAGUGGCUAUUUUUCUUUAUAUUGAGCAUACCAAGAAUUUUCAAUUAUACAAAUAAAGGUUCUUAUUGUUUUACUGUUAAAUUAGUAAAUAUUUAUACCAAUUUUGUGUUACGCUGUUCCCUGUUUAAGUUCAUUUUGUGACAUAUGAGAAAACCUCCAACAGUACAGCAAGAUGACAGUAAGGCUGUUAUUCAUAGUCUCUUUCACAACUGUGAUAGUGGUAUUCCUGAUGCUUAUGGAUAAGAAUAGCAAAGGCAAGAUUCAUAAAGGCCAUUUUACUAAUGUGAAGGACAUUAAAAUAAUGAGAUGCAGAUGAGAAAUGUAAAACAUAGUAUACUAAUGGUGUGGUUUUGCAAUUCAUAGUCUGACACAUGUGUGGUAUGCACAUUCCUUGAUAAAUGUGGUGCAUCACCUUUGAAAUUGGAGUUGCAGUCCACACACCUGCCCUCAGCCAUUCCUUCAAUACUUUGUCCAAGUAUGGAUAAUAAUUUCCCUGAUACACAAAUGAAUUAUUUCCCCAGCAACCCCUUCAUUAGUUUGUCUUAGGUAUACACAAGCACUAAAAUAACACAAAAUAAAUUAUUAUGCCCAGAAAGCACUUCAGCAGUAUGAUGAUAUAUGCACAAGCACU